rnacentral:rRNA from 1 species
GGAUAACUUCGGGAAACCGGAGCUAAUACCGGAUAAUCCUUUUCCUCACAUGAGGGAAAGCUGAAAGACGGUUUCGGCUGUCACUUACAGAUGGGCCCGCGGCGCAUUAGCUAGUUGGUGAGGUAACGGCUCACCAAGGCAACGAUGCGUAGCCGACCUGAGAGGGUGAUCGGCCACACUGGGACUGAGACACGGCCCAGACUCCUACGGGAGGCAGCAGUAGGGAAUCUUCCGCAAUGGACGAAAGUCUGACGGAGCAACGCCGCGUGAGCGAUGAAGGCCUUCGGGUCGUAAAGCUCUGUUGUCAGGGAAGAACAAGUAUCGGAGUAACUGCCGGUACCUUGACGGUACCUGACCAGAAAGCCACGGCUAACUACGUGCCAGCAGCCGCGGUAAUACGUAGGUGGCAAGCGUUGUCCGGAAUUAUUGGGCGUAAAGCGCGCGCAGGCGGUUCCUUAAGUCUGAUGUGAAAGCCCCCGGCUCAACCGGGGAGGGUCAUUGGAAACUGGGGAACUUGAGUGCAGAAGAGGAGAGCGGAAUUCCACGUGUAGCGGUGAAAUGCGUAGAGAUGUGGAGGAACACCAGUGGCGAAGGCGGCUCUCUGGUCUGUAACUGACGCUGAGGCGCGAAAGCGUGGGGAGCGAACAGGAUUAGAUACCCUGGUAGUCCACGCCGUAAACGAUGAGUGCUAAGUGUUAGAGGGUUUCCGCCCUUU